rnacentral:rRNA from 1 species
GGCCCUAAAGCAUCCGUAGCCGGCCGUCUAAGUUUUCGGUUAAAUCUAUGCGCUUAACGUAUAGGCCGCCGAAAAUACUGGACAGCUAGGGAGUGGGAGAGGUACACGGUACUCAAUAGGAAGGGGUAAAAUCCUUUGAUCUAUUGAUGACCACCUGUGGCGAAGGCGGUGUACCAGAACACGUUCGACGGUGAGGGAUGAAAGCUGGGGGAGCAAACCGGAUUAGAUACCCGGGUAGUCCCAGCUGUAAACGAUGCAGACUCGGUGAUGCAUUGGCUUGUGGCCAAUGCAGUGCCGCAGGGAAGCCGUUAAGUCUGCCGCCUGGGAAGUACGUACGCAAGUAUGAAACUUAAAGGAAUUGGCGGGGGAGCACCACAAGGGGUGAAGCCUGCGGUUCAAUUGGAGUCAACGCCAGAAACCUUACCCGGGGCGACAGCAGAAUGAAGGUCAAGCUGAAGACUUUACCAGACAAGCUGAGAGGUGGUGCAUGGCCGUCGCCAGCUCGUGCCGUGAGAUGUCCUGUUAAGUCAGGUAACGAGCGAGACCCCUGCGUCUAGUUGCUACCAUUACUCUCUGGAGUAGUGGAGCGAAUUAGACGGACCGCCACAGUUAAUGUGGAGGAAGGAAGGGGCCACGGCAGGUCAGUAUGCCCCGAAACCCUGGGGCCACACGCGGGCUGCAAUGGUAUUGACAAUGUGUUCCGAAUCCGAAAGGAGGAGGCAAUCAUCAAACGAUACCUCAGUUAUGACUGAGGGCUGUAACUCGCCCUCACGAAUAUGGA